rnacentral:rRNA from 1 species
ACCUGCGGAAGGACAUUACCAGAUUCCAAACCAAAAGUCAGUGGAGAGAGAGGCGGUCAUAACGGUGGAAGACGUCGUCACAUUGGCGGGUUCCAUAACCGGCACAAGAUGUUGGAAGGGCCCAGGGCGGGCCGGCCGGGUCAACCUCAUCCGUGUAAUCCUGCUGCCCACUGCGCUCCCUCCCUACGCUUUAGGGCAGCAACCCCCCGCAUUGGGGGGUGGAGGCCGGAUCUAUGCAAUCAAUGCUUCGCAUCCAUCCACACAGUUGGGUGCCGGUGCGGAGUAGACUAUUGCGGCUAAAGGAGGUUCACCCGGAUGGUGGCUGACUGCGCAUGCAGGACCAUCAUGGAUGGAUCCAACCAUGCGUUCCUUCCCCUGGGGCCUGAGGGGUGUAAAAACCCCUCAGCGACCUGCUCCGACGGCGUGAAGAGGACCCCCACCGUUUGGCACCCUCUCGCCAUUGUCCCAACCAAAACCCUCUGUGUACCCUUCCCUGUUGCUUCCCCCGGGCAACUGGCUCCGGCCAGCCGGGGGGAGAAACCUAGCAAAAACCCUUUUCGCAAAACAGAGGUCUGAAUGUAGAAAACAAACAAAAAAAAAAUAAGUUAAAACUUUCAACAACGGAUCUCUUGGUUCCCACAUCGAUGAAGAAGCAGCGAAAUGCGAUAAGUAAUGUGAAUUGCAGAAUUCAGUGAAUCAUCGAAUCUUUGAACGCACAUUGCGCCCUCUGGUAUUCCGGAGGGCAUGCCUGUUCGAGCGUCAUAAAUACCGCUCCCCCUCGGAUUGCUUGCGGUCCCUGGGGGGUUCUGGCAAUGUGGAUUCCCCGUGCUUUGAGGGCAUGCGAACGGGCUCCCAGUGCUGAAAGACAUAAUGUUCCCAGCCGAAACCGGCGAUUAAUUUCAUCGGCAGGAUUCGUGGCAGGCAGACUGAGGGCGUCAACCGUGGAGUCAUGAGGAUAGAAACCUCCCCCUUUGCAAGUAACAUUGCUCUGGCAGUUAGAUCUGCAGGCCUGCCGGUCUGGGGAUGGGCCUCCCACUCGCAGGCGUCACGGCCACGAUAGCGGGCGUUAAACGGAAUCCGAUCCGCCCCUCCCUGGGUGGUUGAAGAUCCUUGUGGGCUAGCAACCCCUAAACACAUUUGACCUCGGAUCAGGUAGGA